rnacentral:rRNA from 1 species
AAUGAACGCUGGCGGCAUGCCUAACACAUGCAAGUCGAACGAGACCUUCGGGUCUAGUGGCGCACGCGUGCGUAACGCGUGGGAACCUGCCCUUAGGCUCGGCAUAACUCCCCGAAAGGGGUGCUAAUACCGGAUAAUGUCCUCGGACCAAAGAUUUAUCGCCAUUGGAUGGGCGCGCGUUGGAUUAGCUAGUUGGUAGGGUAAAAGCCUACCAAGGCGACGAUCCAUAGCUGGUCUGAGAGGAUGAUCAGACACACUGGGACUGAGACACGGCCCAGACUCCUACGGGAGGCAGGAGUGGGGAAUAGUGGAAAAGGGGCGAAAGCCUGAUCGAGCUAUGCCGCGUGAGUGAUGAAGUCCUUAGGGUUGUAAAGCUCUUUUAACCGGGAUGAUAAUGACGGUACCGGGAGAAUAAGCUCCGGCUAACUCCGUG